UACAGAGGUCCCAAGCGUUGUUCGGAUUCACUGGGCGUAAAGGGUGCGUAGGUGGCCAGGUAAGUUUGGUGUGAAAGCUCGGAGCUUAACUCCAAAAAGUCAUUGAAUACUAUCUGGCUGGAGGGUCGGAGGGGAGACUGGAAUUCUCGGUGUAGCAGUGAAAUGCGUAGAUAUCGAGAGGAACACCAGUGGCGAAGGCGAGUCUCUGGACGACUCCUGACACUGAGGCACGAAAGCUAGGGGAGCAAACAGG
rnacentral:rRNA from 1 species